rnacentral:rRNA from 1 species
AUGGGGGAGUUGGCGUGGGCGGCGCUGGCGGGGCUUCUGGUGCCGCUGGCCGCGGUGGCGCUGGACGCCGCGGUGCGGGCGGCGCACGCGUGGUACUGGACGGCGUCGCUGGGCGCCGGGCGGCGCGGCAGGCUGCCGCCGGGAGACAUGGGGUGGCCGCUCGUCGGCGGCAUGUGGGCCUUCCUCUGCGCCUUCAAGUCCGGCAGGCCGGACUCCUUCAUCGACUCCUUCGCCCGACGGUUCGGGCGGGCGGGGCUGUACAGGGCGUUCAUGUUCAGCAGCCCGACGAUCAUGGUGACGACGCCGGACGCGUGCAAGCAGGUGCUCAUGGACGACGACACGUUCGUCACCGGCUGGCCCAAGGCCACGGUGGCGCUCAUCGGGCCCAAGUCCUUCAUCAACAUGGGCUACGACGAGCACCGCCGGCUGCGCAAGCUCACGGCGGCGCCCAUCAACGGCUUCGACGCGCUCACCUCCUACCUGGGCUUCAUCGACCACACCGUGGUGACCACGCUCCGGGGCUGGUCGGACCGGGGCUCCGACUUCGAGUUCCUCACGGAGCUGCGCCGGAUGACGUUCCGGAUCAUCGUGCAGAUCUUCAUGGGCGGCGCCGACGAGCGCACGGCGGCCGAGCUGGAGAGCACCUACACGGAGCUCAACUACGGCAUGCGCGCCAUGGCCAUCGACCUACCAGGGUUCGCCUACCACAAGGCCAUCCGCGCGCGCCGCAGGCUCGUGGCGGCGCUGCAGCGCGUGCUCGACGAGCGCCGGGCCAGGGGAGCCAAGACGGCCGGGGUGGACAUGAUGGACCGGCUGAUCGCCGCGGAGGACGAGGGCGGGCGGCGGCUGCAGGACGACGAGAUCAUCGACGUGCUUGUCAUGUACCUGAACGCCGGCCACGAGUCCUCCGGCCACAUCACCAUGUGGGCCACCGUCUUCCUGCAGGAGAACCCCGACAUCCUCGCCAAGGCCAAGGCGGAGCAGGAGGCGAUCAUGAGGAGCAUCCCGCCGGGGCAGAAGGGGCUCACCCUCCGGGACUUCAGGAAGAUGGAGUACCUCUCACAGGUGGUCGACGAGACGCUGCGGUUCGUCAACAUCUCCUUCGUGUCGUUCCGCCAGGCGACCCGCGACGUCUUCGUCAACGGUUAUCUGAUACCCAAGGGGUGGAAGGUGCAGCUGUGGUACAGGAGCGUGCACAUGGACCCUCAGGUGUACCCUGACCCCAAGAAGUUCGACCCUUCAAGAUGGGAGGGCCCGCCGCCGAGGGCCGGAACGUUCCUUCCUUUCGGGCUCGGCACGAGGCUGUGCCCGGGCAACGAUCUCGCCAAGCUUGAGAUCUCUGUCUUCCUCCACCAUUUCCUCCUUGGAUACAAGCUGACAAGGAAAAAUCCAAAUUGCCGGGUGAGGUACCUGCCGCACCCCCGGCCGGUGGACAAUUGCCUGGCCAAGAUCACCAGAGUCUCCUCCUCCCAUUGA